rnacentral:rRNA from 1 species
UGCGGUAGGGGAGACUGGAAUUCCCGGUGUAACGGUGGAAUGUGUAGAUAUCGGGAAGAACACCAAUGGCGAAGGCAGGUCUCUGGGCCGUCACUGACGCUGAGGAGCGAAAGCGUGGGGAGCGAACAGGAUUAGAUACCCUGGUAGUCCACGCCGUAAACGGUGGAUGCUGGAUGUGGGGACCAUUCCACGGUCUCCGUGUCGGAGCCAACGCGUUAAGCAUCCCGCCUGGGGAGUACGGCCGCAAGGCUAAAACUCAAAGAAAUUGACGGGGGCCCGCACAAGCGGCGGAGCAUGCGGAUUAAUUCGAUGCAACGCGAAGAACCUUACCUGGGCUUGACAUGUUCCCGACAGCCCCAGAGAUGGGGCCUCCCUUCGGGGCGGGUUCACAGGUGGUGCAUGGUCGUCGUCAGCUCGUGUCGUGAGAUGUUGGGUUAAGUCCCGCAACGAGCGCAACCCUCGCCCUGUGUUGCCAGCACGUCGUGGUGGGAACUCACGGGGGACCGCCGGGGUCAACUCGGAGGAAGGUGGGGAUGACGUCAGAUCAUCAUGCCCCUUACGUCCAGGGCUUCACGCAUGCUACAAUGGCCGGUACAACGGGAUGCGACCUCGUGAGGGGGAGCGGAUCCCUUAAAACCGGUCUCAGUUCGGAUUGGAGUCUGCAACCCGACUCCAUGAAGGCGGAGUCGCUAGUAAUCGCGGAUCAGCAACGCCGCGGUGAAUGCGUUCCCGGGCCUUGUACACACCGCCCGUCAAGUCAUGAAAGUGGGUAGCACCCGAAGCCGGUGGCCCAACCUUUUGGGGGGAGCCGUCUAAGGUGAGACUCGUGAUUGGGACUAAGUCGUAACAAGGUAGCCGUACCGGAAGGUGCGGCUG